rnacentral:rRNA from 1 species
UACGUAGGUGGCAAGCGUUGUCCGGAAUUACUGGGCGUAAAGGGCGUGUAGGCGGCCUUUUAAGUCAGACGUGAAAUCUCUGGGCUUAACCCAGAAACUGCGUUUGAAACUGGAAGGCCUGAGGAUCGGAGAGGGUAGUGGAAUUCCCAGUGUAGCGGUGAAAUGCGUAGAUAUUGGGAGGAACACCAGUGGCGAAGGCGACUGCCUGGACGACACCUGACGCUGAGGCGCGAAAAGCUAGGGGAGCAAACGGG